GACGCUGGCGGUGUGCUUCACACAUGCAAGUCGAACGGGUAGCAAUACCCAGUGGCGGACGGUGAGUAACACGUAGGAAUCUGCCUUUAGAUGGGGAUAACUGACCGAAAGGUCAGCUAAUACCGCAUAUGCCGAAAGGUGAAAGGAGCAAUCCGUCUGAAGAUGAGCCUGCGUCUGAUUAGCUAGUUGGUGGGGUAAAGGCCUACCAAGGCGACGAUCCAUAGCUGGUCUGAGAGGAUGAUCAGCCACACUGGGACUGAGACACGGCCCAGACUCCUACGGGAGGCAGCAGUGGGGAAUAUUGGACAAUGGGCGAAAGCCUGAUCCAGCAAUGCCGCGUGAGUGAUGAAGGCCUUAGGGUUGUAAAGCUCUUUUACCCGAGAUGAUAAUGACAGUAUCGGGAGAAUAAGCUCCGGCUAACUCCGUG
rnacentral:rRNA from 1 species